rnacentral:rRNA from 1 species
CGCCCGGGGCGCGCCCCGGGCGGGGCGGGGGCACGGGGGUUGGAGGGCAAGUCUGGUGCCAGCAGCCGCGGUAAUUCCAGCUCCAAUAGCGUAUAUUAAAGUUGUUGCAGUUAAAAAGCUCGUAGUUGAAUUUCGGGAUCAAUAUGUUGGUCGUGCCUUGGUACGUACUGGCGUCAUUGGUUUCUACCUUCUGAAGAACCUCGAUGUCA